AGUUCUUGCGUGGCCCCCAUCUGCAGGUGCAGCCGAGGCCUUGGCAAGGGGGAAGGAUGGUUAUCGCUUCGGAAAACAGCUACACUGUCUUGUUAAUCCUUCGUCAAGGUCUUGGCCAAAGGAUAAAUUCUGAGGGAGACGGACGUGGAGCACUGAGGAGCCCAGGCAACUGAUCAGACCAUUUUUCAUGUAGCUCUCAAUGUUAAAGGAGCGGGGGAAUCGUUGUCUUGCUAUUUUUAAAGAUCUGUUUCGAGAUUGUUGCAUCCCUUUCAGUUCAAUUAGUUUUCUAAUUCUUACUCAUCUGCAUAGAAUUGCUGUGUAAUAUGCCUAUAUGUUUUCUGACAGAACUUUGCAUAAUGAUGUGCUGAAUUUAAUGAUGUAUUGAAUUUUAAGCAUAUACUGCAAUAAUGUUCAAAAAGUACAAGUUCAUAAAUGCUAUCAAUUUGUGGGAAAGGAUGGUUGCUUUUGAUUGUCUUAGGUCACCUUUCCUGGCUUCAUUCAGUUUGUAAAUGUGCUUCGCCUUUGAGUUGCUGAACAAUAAAAGAACUCUUGACUGCA